UGCUUACAGAACUGUGAUGUUAUAUUUCUUAGCUAGAUCUCUCUGGAAAGCCAUAUUUUUUUAUGUCCAUCAGACUUCAAUCAUAUAACAUAGCGAGCCUUAUCAUGAAAUUACAUGAAAUUACCACAGUGUAAAAAAAUCAGAUAGGUAAAAAACACUUAACUUUUGAAAUAUCCAUUCUUUUAGAUAAAUAUAUAGUCAUACAUAUUAGGAUAUGACUGAUUAGCAUGCAGUGUUAAAAACAAAUACAAGCUUGCACUCAAAACUAGUCUUUGAAUAUCUGACUUAGAAAUAAAUAUACAACGAUUUCACUACAGUGUAAUACACAAACUACUGCAGAACAAUUUUUAUUAUUACUAUUACCAAAUUAUCAAAAAGGGCAGUUUUGUCAAGUCCAUUGCCACAUUCAAGUCCCUUUUUAAGCACCUCCCAUAAUCGCACACAGUCCCAUCGCAUUAAAAAGACCGUUCAAAAUACUCUAAUCUCAGGAUCAGCAGAACAAGAUACGAGAUGGGUCCUGGGAACUCCUGCAGGAUCGAUGCGGUGCUCUUUACCGGCUUGAUCGUGUUGGUAUCUGCAGACCAGGAAACCAUCACAGCUAAAUCUGGACAGGAUGUCACUCUGCCAUGUCGAGCUCCAAACAACAACGGUGACAUUGUAGAGUGGAGCAGAACAGGCCCGAGAGAUACGUUUGUCUUUGUGUUGAAAAACAAGAAGCCCAACGGAGAUGUUCAGGACCCAUCCUUUAAGAACCGUGUGGCUCUGCAGGACAAAGAUAUGAAGGAUGGAAAUGUGUCUGUGAUUCUGUACAAUGUGACGGCUGCUGAUAAUGGAACAUAUGAGUGUCGCAUCAUUGAGGCAGGAACAGCCUCAUAUGCCCUCAUCAGCAGCAUCACCCUGAGUGUUGUUCCUCCAGGUCACACAGGAGGAGACACAGAGGAUGGAUCUGCUGGAAUGAAAGUUGGUCUUCCUGUUGGGGCUAUUGUUGUCGCUGCUGUUGUUGGUGUUUGUUUUUUGAUCUACAGAAAACUUAAACAACGUAACCAGGGUACAUACGAGCCUCCAGUUGAAUGUCAGCCUGUUGGAAAUGUCUCAGUGUUUUCCAGCUGAUCUGAGACUCCUGCUGUUACAGAGGUGACACUGAGCACUCAGGGUAAAGCCAGUUGUGGUUUUUCAAUCAUGUAAGUGAAACAGGAGCAAACUGAAAUGUC
ensembl:lncRNA